rnacentral:rRNA from 1 species
AAGUGGGGAGGACUACCAUGCAGUCGAACGGUAACAGGAAGCAGCUUGCUGCUUCGCUGACGAGUGGCGGACGGGUGAGUAAUGUCUGGGAAACUGCCUGAUGGAGGGGGAUAACUACUGGAAACGGUAGCUAAUACCGCAUAACGUCGCAAGACCAAAGAGGGGGACCUUCGGGCCUCUUGCCAUCGGAUGUGCCCAGAUGGGAUUAGCUAGUAGGUGGGGUAACGGCUCACCUAGGCGACGAUCCCUAGCUGGUCUGAGAGGAUGACCAGCCACACUGGAACUGAGACACGGUCCAGACUCCUACGGGAGGCAGCAGUGGGGAAUAUUGCACAAUGGGCGCAAGCCUGAUGCAGCCAUGCCGCGUGUAUGAAGAAGGCCUUCGGGUUGUAAAGUACUUUCAGCGGGGAGGAAGGGAGUAAAGUUAAUACCUUUGCUCAUUGACGUUACCCGCAGAAGAAGCACCGGCUAACUCCGUGCCAGCAGCCGCGGUAAUACGGAGGGUGCAAGCGUUAAUCGGAAUUACUGGGCGUAAAGCGCACGCAGGCGGUUUGUUAAGUCAGAUGUGAAAUCCCCGGGCUCAACCUGGGAACUGCAUCU